rnacentral:rRNA from 1 species
GAGCGGCGGACGGGUGAGUAACGCGUAGGAAUCUACCUAGUAGAAGGGGAUAGCCCGGGGAAACCCGGAUUAAUACCGUAUACCUCCUUCGGGAGAAAGAAGGCCUCUCUUUGAAGCUUUCGCUAUUAGAUGAGCCUGCGUAAGAUUAGCUUGUUGGUGAGGUAAAGGCUCACCAAGGCUACGAUCUUUAGCUGGUCUGAGAGGACGAUCAGCCACAUUGGGACUGAGACACGGCCCAGACUCCUACGGGAGGCAGCAGUGGGGAAUAUUGGACAAUGGGCGCAAGCCUGAUCCAGCCAUACCGCGUGUGUGAAGAAGGCCUUCGGGUUGUAAAGCACUUUAAGCAGGGAGAAAAAGUUAUAAGUUAAUACCUUAUAACCGUGAUGUUACCUGCAGAAUAAGCACCGGCUAAUUCCGUGCCAGCAGCCGCGGUAAUACGGAAGGUGCAAGCGUUAAUCGGAAUUACUGGGCGUAAAGCGCGCGUAGGUGGUUUGUUAAGUUGGAUGUGAAAGCCCUGGGCUCAACCUAGGAACUGCAUCCAAAACUAACUCACUAGAGUACGAUAGAGGGAGGUAGAAUUCAUAGUGUAGCGGUGGAAUGCGUAGAUAUUAUGAAGAAUACCAGUGGCGAAGGCGGCCUCCUGGAUCUGUACUGACACUGAGGUGCGAAAGCGUGGGUAGCGAACAGGAUUAGAUACCCUGGUAGUCCACGCCGUAAACGAUGACAACUAGCUGUUGGGAGACAAUGUCUCUCAGUGGCGCAGCUAACGUUUUAAGUGUCCGCCUGGG